GUGUCUAACAAGCACCCGUUUGUGGACAGUAACCUCCUCUACCAAUUCAAAAUGAACAUCCUUUGGAGGCGAAGGCUGAUGGAGCUGCUCAAUGAGAAGUCCCCAUUCUCUCAGGAGACACAUGACAGUCCCUUCUGUCUGAGGAAGCAGAGCCACGACAGUCGGAAAUCUACCAGCUUUAUGUCAGUCAGCCCCAGCAAGGAGAUCAAGAUCCUGUCUGCAGCGAGUAGGAGCAGCAUGAGCAACUGCUGCAGCAGUGGCUACUUCAGC
rnacentral:lncRNA from 1 species